GGACAGAUGGGAGCUUGCUCCCUGAAGUCAGCGGCGGACGGGUGAGUMACACGUGGGCAACCUGCCUGUAAGACUGGGAUAACUCCGGGAAACCGGGGCUAAUACCGGAUAAUUCUUUYCCUCACAUGARGGAAAGCUGAAAGAUGGUUUCGGCUAUCACUUACAGAUGGGCCCGCGGCGCAUUAGCUAGUUGGUGAGGUAACGGCUCACCAAGGCAACGAUGCGUAGCCGACCUGAGAGGGUGAUCGGCCACACUGGGACUGAGACACGGCCCAGACUCCUACGGGAGGCAGCAGUAGGGAAUCUUCCGCAAUGGACGAAAGUCUGACGGAGCAACGCCGCGUGAGUGAUGAAGGUUUUCGGAUCGUAAAACUCUGUUGUUAGGGAAGAACAAGU
rnacentral:rRNA from 1 species